UUUGAUCCUCACGACCAAGAUCUUGGUAUAUAUUAUAUUAUCUCAAAGGAGUAAAUAAGAUGUUUGAAGUAUUCUUUAUUUCACACUACUUCCAAAGGAGAGAUCCAUUGUCUACUCCUAUCAUCCUUUCAUUGCCAUGGAUGGACAGAAAAGGAAUGUGAGACAUGUCAAAGGUUUACUUUGAUCCUAAGAAGACCCUGCUCCAUUUUCUCAGAGGGACUUGCCUCACAACUGACAUCCUCAGAGAUUGUAGACAUAGGGCCUCUGGAAAGGAAAGAUUACAGUUAAAUCCCAAAGCACUGCAUAUUGAUGAGACAGAAUUUUGUCUUGUACUUAAUCCACUCCCUUGUCUCUAGAUUGAUACAGAUAUAUGUAUAUGUGUGUGUGUGUAUAUAUAUAUAUAUAAAAUGAAUAAAAUACAGUGGUUUUACCUGUCAUGACUAUUCCUUUCAAAGUAGAUAAAUAUAUUUUAUAAUUUGAAAACUUGAAGGGAGGCUUUCUGCAAGUGAUCCUUGAUUUUGUGCAGACAGUAGUUUUCUGUUGAAAGGACCAGGACUGAAUCUCAGCCCUAGGGAUAUAUUCAUACUCCAUCUCAUGUGAACUCCUUGAGGGCAGAAUCAGUCGUGUGGUACUUGACUGGAGAUUUUCAAAGGCUAAGCAUGACUUUCCAGAUACAUCAUGAUACAAAAGAAUAGCUUGCAGAGAAAUGCAGAUACCUUGAGUUCUCCCCAUAAUUAAAUCCACUGUCACCAGAUUAUGGUGUUUGGAAUAUUUCAUCUGUGUCCUCUCAUACACUGAGAUAAGCAAUUUGUGUGUUUUGGAGAGAAACUCUAACCCUACUCUAAUCCCUAGCCCAUCUACAUGGUUUAGCACGUAGGCUAGUGGUCUGUUCAUUGUCGGAUAGGAUGUUGGGCUUCUCCUUUCUAUUCCUAUCUACAAAGGAAUCAUUUUCCACUAAGAUGGGGGAAGAAUCACAGCAUCUGUAAGUUAAGGGAACACUAAAAAUCAAGCAUAAAAUAUAACCUUGAGAUUCUGAGAUUCUGAGAUGAGGACAUGUAAGUAUCUUUCCCUGCGAAAACAAUAGAUUUAGAAAAGUGGCAAAAUAAGUGAGAAAUAAAAGGUUAUAUUUUAUGCUUGAUUUUUAGUGUCCCCAUAACUUAUAGGUGCUGUGAUUCUUCCCCAUCUUGGUAGAAAAUGAUCCCUUUGUAGAUAGGAAUAGAAAGGAGAAGUCCAACAUCCUAUUUGACAACUUUUAAUUCUCUGCUUCAGUACUCAUCCAUGAAUCAAUGUAUCUCAACAUUCUCAGUUCCAUUAUGCUCUUUAUUUAUUUUAAUUUUUACUUAUUUGAAGAGAAAUAUAGAUAGAAAAGAGAGCUAGAAAAAACCAUCCCAUCUGCUGGUUCACUGCCCAAAUGCCCAUAAUUCCUCUUUAGGAGCUGAAGCUGGUAGCCAGGACCUCAAUCCAGGUCUCCACCUGAUUGGUAGGGACUCGAUUACUUAAGCCAUCAUUCCUGUCUCCCAGUGUCUACAUUAGCAGGUGGUUGGAAACUGGAGCCAGAACUCAGAAUCAAUUCAUACCAAAUGAGUAAAUUUAGACUAAUAAGCAAGUAGAUUACCUAGUCCAUAGAGUUCUAGAUAUAAAGGGAUUUUUUGUUUGUUUUUGGAUUUUUCCAUUCAACUUGACCUAGGAAGGAGAAAGCUGGAGGAAAUAGAGGAAAAUGUAAAUUGUCUAAGGAUGAGUUAUGUAAGAUAUAAUUUUUAAGCACAUUUAAUGUGUGUAGCAAACUCCAGUUGAUCCAAUUGAUGAGCCAAUCACAGUAUUUACUGAAUUACUACUUAUGCUUGGGAUAUUCUUCAUAGUAAUUGUUAGGUGGCUAAAAUUGUCAAAUAGGUUAUUACGUGGACCCCAAAAGCGGUGUCCUCUUGUGAGGACCCCAGAAACACAGACUCCAGACCAGACGAUGCAAUAGAGCAGGAGGUAAUUUUUAUUUCAUUUGCGCAAAUGGGCCCCCUGCUGCUGCAAGCAGCAAGCAAGCGAGAGGAGCCCCGAGCAGCUAUCUCACACAGCUUUUAAGGGGCAAAACCACAAAAUUAACAUACCAUAGGGUGGCGUAAGUUUAUUGGGUAACUACAAUGGGAGGAGGUCCUCGAGGAGGAGGAGAGAACAGAAACGGGGGCUACGUGCCCUACGUGUCUAAGCUUGCACAAGGGGAGGGGGUCCUUGAAGAGCAGAAAGGGGUGGCUACGUGCCCUACGUGUCUCGCGGUUUCUUUGUUAAGCUUGAACAAGCACAGGGGAGGGGGCUUAGGUGCAUACCAGGAUGUUCUGUCGCCCUUAUCUCUGGGUAGUAGCCCUUAUCUCUGGGUAGUAGCCCUUAUCUCUGGCUAGUAGCUAUCUGCUUUCUCUGUGAACUUAGUUUACUCCCCAUUUCCCAGGACUGUUUUAUUAAGGCCAUUUUAUGGCGGCUCUCGGCCGCUCCUUUCAUUCCCCCAUUUUCUCUUUGAACUAAUUUUAAUCCUAAAAUUGUGUGCCCAUUAAUGAGGGGUUUCAAUACGGUCACUGGUGGCCAGGGCUUGAUACUGUUGCGUGAGGACUAAUGCCAAUGAUCAGCAAGCCAGGCCUUAGCAUGUGGGCCCAUGGCCAGCCAUGGGUCCCCACAUCUCCUCCUUUUUUUUUAUUAAAUUGAGAAUGGCCUCUGUCUUAGGUUGCCCUCAGUCAUCUCUGUCCUUACCCGUCAUCGGUAACUCUGGCAGCUUGGCCUAGAGCCCUGUCUUAGGUUGGUACAGGAUGCUGAGCGUCUUACCCGUCUUUGAGUACCAUUCCAGCCCAACAUUAGGUGAGAGAUGAAACAUACAGCCAAAUAUCAAUUAUUUUGAUUACAAAGGAGGCUUGGUACGAAGUUUUAAAUGAUGAAUCUCAGUCCAUUCAUACUGUAGGGAAGUCAGCAUAAAAUGCAGAACACAUGGAAGACAUCCCAUACAAAGUGGGAAAAGCAGUAGCAGUCCAGCCAACAUUAAUAACCAAUGAAUCCAUUGAAACCCUUCAAAUGAAUAGUGGGUUAGUAAUAAACAUAUGUUGCAUUUUACUCUUAAGUUUAUCAAUAACAGACUCUAUAUAUGGCACAUUGUUAGUAAUGUUAAAGCAAUAUCCCCCAGGUACAGGUUUACAACUUAAAUGAUCUUUUUUAACAGCAAGUAAUUGUUAGCUGCAUGGCUUAAAAGCACUCCUGAGUGAACUUGAUCCAAUUCUUUGGCUAUAUUGGAUAGCACAGUAGCAGUAAGAUUGAUUGCUUUGGUCACCAAACAUGUAAGCCUUCAUAGUCCACGAUUAUUUCCAAAGCCAGUCCAGGAACACUUACUACUGAUGCAGCCAUGGCAAGGGCAGUGUCCUCUCCUAUUAGGAUGAUUGUUAUUGUAGUCUUCAGGUAAAGCACACCACUGCUCUAUCCGCUGCUGUAAAUACAGAUGUUAGCAUCAGGGCCACACGGCCCAGGGAGCAAUUGCAGAAAGGCAUGUUGGUUACACGGAAAAACCCAUCCCUUAGGAGCCCUUGUCCCAUACCAGUACUGGAUCAGGUCCAUUCCAUUGAUUGGUGAUAGGAUCCCUCCAUUUUACCAUUGCUCUUUUUACAGCUGUUUUUAAGCAGUUAGAAUUUAACAGAGACAUCAAGAGAACAUAAUAGAUUACUUUAACUCAUUGCUUUAACAGAGGAUCAGAUUUUGAUUUUAUGUCAAAGAAAAUAACCAAAGAUUUCUUCUUCCCAUAACAUUUUGUGACUUUCUCACACCUUCUGUAACUUGCUCAAACCUUUCUCUUCUCCCCCCCCUUUUAUAAACAAUUUUUACAAAUCAUAUCCCUUUUUUAUUUAAAAGUAUCUCUUUCUUUUAACUUUCCUUAUCAAGAACACGCUUUUAUGUUUGUGACCUUUUACAUCAAAAUGAUGGUAUCUGGGACUGUAGCAGUCAAUGGGAGAGUAACUUUGUUUAAUUCCCUGUAAUCCACAGUCAUUUUUCAGGUUUCAUCUGAUUUCUUAACAUGCCAAAUUAGAUAAUUUUUUUUUAGUGAUUAUGGGAAUCAUCACUCCAGCACUAAGAUAAUUUUUUUACUGUUUUAGAUAUUUUCUCAUAUCCACCUGGAAUUCUGUAUUGUUUACACUGAAUAACCUUAGUUGGCCCUGGCAGCAGUACAGGAGCUUGAUAUAAUUUUUUUUUUCUACCACUAUCUAGCAGUUUGACUCCAAAGGGCAGCAUUUUCUUUUUCCCAAUUUACAUUUAUCCUGUACUUAUUUUUCCAAUUGCUUACACAUGCAUCAGUAUGCAGAUAACAAAAUCCAUUCUCACCUCCCCAAAGCCUAUAGUUCAUCCCCCUUUUCCACCGGCACUGAUAGCAAAACCUCAAUAACUUGUGGAGGCUGUGCACUCUGUAACUUGCCAUCCCAAUUCUCACUCGAUUCUGAGCAGAGAGCCCAUUCCUUCACCAAACAGGCGAACUGAAGGUCUUUCCAGCCAGGAACAUCACAGGUUACACAUGCAACUUCAGUUUUUCUUUUAAAGAAAGGCAUUGCUUUGCAUACUUGCGGAUCCUGCCAACUAUGCCAAUUUGUGACAGUAAAUUACUUUUCAGCUGUCUGCUGUGCACAGACUUAGUUACUUUUAGUUUAAUCCACAAGAAAUACGCUGCAAGCCUUGUAGUGCACACUAAAAUUAUUUACAGGAAAGAUGGUAAAGGAGCAUAGAUUUACAGAAUGUUGCAAUAAACAUGGCUCCAUUGCUUUAAUGAUACUAUAGCAAGAUGGUCCACUGAUCCCUGUAGGGAGGGCCUGAGACUGGCCCCGCUUCCAGUUUCCUGAACUCUGUUUUUUAAUGAAUUACCUUCUUUAUCAGUUUUGGAGUGACAUUUAUUGGCCCAAUGCCUUCCCCUUUAGCACUGGAAGCAAAUCCCAGGAAGAGCCUUAUUUUGAUUUUUGACUUCUGGACAAUUUUUGUUCAUGUCCCUGUUGCCCACAUUUAUAGCACCCUCAUUUAUCAGGCAUAGCCCUCCUUGAUGAUUUUUGUAAUGACAUACCAAGCAGAGUGUCAGGUCCUGAAUGUCCUGUUAUUAAUCCAUUUUGUUAAUUUCUCAUUAAAGGGACUGUCACAGAACACCUCAAUCACAGUAGCCAAUUGAUCAUGUCCACGUUGUACUUAUGUUUUGUAGAAUUUACAGUACUGUGGGUAUCACUAGGCAAUCUUCACACAGCUCCGGAGAAGGAUCCAUACUGAGAAUUAAACAUUAUUAGUAAUCAUCACGGGCACAUUUAACAUUCAGCUUGACUGCAUGUUCCCCCCGAAACGAAACAGCAGCAGCAGAGGCUUGCUCCGGCUCCCCCUUAAAGCCCCCAAGGACAAGGGUGGCUCAUUGCCAAGAUUUUAGGCAAGCAGUGCGUCCCAUCUCGGGUCUUGGCCAGAGAGCCGAGACAUGAAGCAUGCCCACCUGUUUAUCAGAAAACAUUCCUUUAUCCUCCUCCCUGGGAACUGGCCAGGCUCCCAAGGAGCAGGAGAAGGUCAUUCGGCAGCAAAGUUUCUUGGUUACCAGAGCCAAAUCUAGGUACAAGCCUCUCCAUUCCAAAAAUUUGUCCUUACAUUUGGCCCUAGAGUUGCAUUGAGAAGUAGACAUAAUUAACACAUCAUAAGAAUACAAUACACAUUUUUCAUACAAGUAUACAUCUAGCAAUCAAACACAA